rnacentral:rRNA from 1 species
UACGGGGGGGCAAGCGUUGUUCGGAAUUACUGGGCGUAAAGGGCUCGUAGGCGGCCAACUAAGUCGGAUGUGAAAUCCCCAGGCUCAACUUGGGAACUGCAUCCGAUACUGGAUGGCUUGAAUUCGGGAGAGGGAUGCAGAAUUCCAGGUGUAGCGGUGAAAUGCGUAGAUAUCUGGAGGAAUACCGGUGGCGAAGGCGGCAUCCUGGACCGACAUUGACGCUGAGGAGCGAAAAGCUAGGGGAGCAAACGGGG